GCCCUUGUAGAUGAAUCGGUACAUCGUCCAUUCCUUGUAACCAGCCGUAAUUGGAAGGUGGAGGUUCGAAUCCUCCCUGGGGUA